rnacentral:rRNA from 1 species
UGCUCUCUUAGGUCUCCUUACCUUUCCGGAAAUGGCUUCAUUGGUGCCUUCCCACCGGUCCUGGAGGGCUGCAACUCGUUGUCCACCCUAGACAUGGGGAAUAACAAGUUCUUUGGUGUUAUCCCUCCAUGGAUCGGGAGUCACAUCCCAUUGUUGAGAAUCCUUAGCCUGAAAUCAAACAAUUUCACUGGAGAAAUUCCUCUAGAGUUAUCACGCCUUUCGCAACUUCAGCUGCUCGACAUGGCAAACAAUAGCUUGACCGGCUCAAUUCCGGUAGCCUUCGGCAGCUUGACCUCCAUGAUGCAUCCACAAAAUCUAUCGACUACGAAACCGUCUAACAAGUGGUAUUACUAUGAUAGAAUCGACAUAAUUUGGAAGGGCCAGUACAAGAUAUUUAGAAAAGAUAUCCAGUUAUUAGCCGGUAUCGAUUUGUCGGGCAAUUUGUUGUCUCGGUGCAUUCCUGAAGAGCUAACCAACCUUCAGGGCCUCCUAUUUCUAAACCUAUCAAGAAACCAUCUGUCAUGUAGCAUUCCUAAAAACAUUGGUAGUUUGACUUUUCUCGAAUCCCUCGAUCUAUCAUCUAAUGAACUUACAGGAGACAUUCCGCCGAGCAUCUCGAGCUUGUCGUGGCUCGCCGCGUUGAAUGUCUCGAACAAUCUUUUGUCGGGCAAGAUACCCACCGGGAAUCAGCUUCAGACCUUGCCUGACCCAUCAAUUUACUCAAACAAUUCUGGGCUCUGUGGAUUUCCUCUAAACAUUUCGUGUGCCAAUACUUCGCUUGCACCGGAUCAGAGAAAUGGUGAAGAGGAGGACCACUGGAUGUACUACUGUGUGAUUGCUGGGAUUGUGUCUGGUCUUUGGUUGUGGUUUGGGAUGCUCUUUACAGUUAAGUCCUGGAGAUGUUUUUUUCUUUCCUUUGUUGAUGGCAUGCAAUGUAAAAUUAAGAAAAGUUGA